rnacentral:rRNA from 1 species
UGGGGAAUAUUGGGCAAUGGGCGAAAGCCUGACCCAGCAACGCCGCGUGAAGGAAGAAGGUUUUCGGAUUGUAAACUUCUGUCCUCAGGGAAGAAGGACGUGACGGUACCUGAGGAGGAAGCCCCGGCUAACUACGUGCCAGCAGCCGCGGUAAUACGUAGGGGGCGAGCGUUGUCCGGAAUGACUGGGCGUAAAGGGCGCGUAGACGGCUGUCUAAGUCUGGAGUGAAAGUCCUGUUUUCAAGGUGGGAAUUGCUUUGGAGACUGGAUGGCUUGAGUGCGGAAGAGGUAAGUGGAAUUCCCAGUGUAGCGGUGAAAUGCGUAGAGAUUGGGAGGAACACCAGUGGCGAAGGCGACUUACUGGGCCGUAACUGACGUUGAAGCGCGAAAGCGUGGGGAGCGAACAGG